GACGAACGCUGGCGGCGUGCUUAACACAUGCAAGUCGAACGAUGAACCGGAGCUUGCUCCGGGGAUUAGUGGCGAACGGGUGAGUAACACGUGGGCAACCUGCCCCAGACACCGGGAUAACCUUCCGAAAGGAUGGCUAAUACCGGAUAUGACCACUUCGGGCAUCCGACGGUGGUGGAAAGGAUUCUGGUCUGGGAUGGGCCCGCGGCCUAUCAGCUAGUUGGUGGGGUAAUGGCCUACCAAGGCGACGACGGGUAGCCGGCCUGAGAGGGCGACCGGCCACACUGGGACUGAGACACGGCCCAGACUCCUACGGGAGGCAGCAGUGGGGAAUAUUGCGCAAUGGGCGAAAGCCUGACGCAGCGACGCCGCGUGAGGGACGAAGGUCUUCGGAUUGUAAACCUCUUUCAGCAGGGACGAAGCGAAAGUGACUGUACCUGCAGAAGAAGCACCGGCUAACUACGUGCCAGCCGCCGCAGUAAGAC
rnacentral:rRNA from 1 species